UUUUUAAUUGUAAAUUCAAAUUUGAUAAGCCAAAAUUGAAUUUAAUUAAUGAUUUAAACUCAAAUUUUAAUUUUAAUUUAAAAAUUUAUAAAUAUAAAUUUAAAUUGUAUAAUUAAAUGUCUACUCUAAAUUUAAGAUGAAAUAAAAAUUCAAAUUAUAUAAUAUUAAAAUUUAAAUAUAUAUUAGAAAUUAAAUUUGAAUUUGAUUUUUGGUUGUAAUCAAUAAAAUAUUAAUAUAACAACUAUUACUCUAUAAUAUUGAGAUAAUUUAAAAAUAUUCAGUUAAAAAAAUGAAAUGAUAUAAAAAUAUUUAAUAAAAAAAAAUUUAUCCAUUAGAGAAGAAAAAGAAAUUUAUUACUUAUUUUAUUAAGUUACUUAUUUUACAGAAAAAAAGUGGAGUGUUACCAUAUAUAUUGCAUACCAUUUAUAUAUAUAUAAAUAUAUUAUAUGGAAGUAAUAUACAUAGUAACAUAUAUAAUAUAAAUGGUAGUUUAUAUAUUAUAUAUUGAUAACAGUAUUAAUAAGGUAUAUACGGCUGGGGCUACUAUACUCAUUGAGAUAGGAGCUCUUUGCUACUCAUAAGUUUGGGUCGACCGCUUCGAGAUGGGAAAAAUGUGUGGUUUCAAGGAUGAAGUGAUUAGGUUAGGUUGGGAUAGUAGGCCUCCUUAGGUUGAGGUGGGGUGGGUUGGUUGAAUAAUUAUAAUCUAACGGGGUGAAAAUGAUAAAGGGGUUAUGAUCUAACAAGCCAAAAACUUAUGAUACAAUAGGCCUCUAAUACUCAUACAGAGUAUAGUAGCGGACUCAUAAUAUACUAGCGGAUAUGUAUAUAUAUAUAAAUAUAAUAUAUAUACUAUAUACUAGUAGGUAGUAUAUAGUAUAUAGUAAUAUAUAUAUGAUAUGUAAUAUAUAUGGUAACAUGAAGAACCAAAACUUUUUUUCAGUAUAGAUAUAUAAUUACCUUGUAUGAUUUAUUGGAUCUUGGGUCCCUAACUUUUAGAAAUGUCGGUUACUAGUAUAUCAAUCGUACGGAAUUUGAAAUUUGAUAAUAAAUUGAAUUAAUUUUACAUUUUGCGGUGCAUCCAUUGCAUCCUAAAAAAUGUAUGUGACACAAUCUCUUACUGAACAAUUUCCUCACCUUUCACGGUAAAAAGUUUAAAAUGCAUCAGUUAUAUUGUUAAUGUGGCGUUCCUAGCCAAUCAGAUCUGUCUUCUUGGAUUCAUCUAUCCUAUUAUUGUUAUUAGAAAAAUAUAUGUAUUAUAAUUUUCUCUCAAAAUGAAAGAUAUGAUUCGUUGGAAAUAAAUGAUGCAGUAUAAGUAUUACAAUGUACACUUCCUCCUUAGACGGUGGUGGCUACUCAACCCUUUUCUGGUCUCCAUUUCAAAAUACCAUAAUAAAGAUUGCAAAAGCUAAUGGUGCCCUAUUUUGCACUAAUUAAGAACUUUUUGCCAACCUAAUUAUAAUCUGAAUGUUGAUUAUAUCAAUUCCUAUUUUAUGUUUCUUCCCAUAACCCAGUCUCUAGUGUGAGACCUUUUUACCAUUAAAUGAUGUUAUAAAGUAAAGAGCAAGGAAAAUACUUACCAUCAUUUGGUUCGGGAUUAAGUAAAAAUUUAUUAUUUCAGGGAUAGAAUUAAGUUUAGGAUUAAUGUGGGGUUAGAGUAAUUUUGUGUUUGGUUGAGAAUUGGGUUUAGUUCAGAUAUAGAUAAAAUAGUAUUUGAUUGGAGUAGGUGAGAUAAGAAGGAUAGUGAAUAAAAUACUGUUUUGUUUGAUUGGAGUAGUGGGGUAGGAUGGGAUUCCCACCCCUCAAAUUGGGUGUUUGGGAAUAACUUCGGGGUUAAGAGUUUAUUCCACCCCUUAACCUCGAACCAAAUGGGUGCUUAGUCUACAUCUUAUAUCUUAGGCUGCGUUUGGUUGGAGGGAUAUCCCAGAACAAGGCGGGAUAUCCCUCCAAACAAAAUGUAUUUUGGAACAACCGGGUUGUUCCCGGAACAACCCGUUAAGCCGGGAACAACCCGGUAAACUUGUUCUCCCUAAAAGGGAGAACAAGCCGGAACAAGAGUUUGGGCUUUUUUUUUUUCUUUUUUUUUUUUCUGCCUUUUAAUAUUUUAUACUUUUAUUAAAUUAUUUCAAAUAAAUUAAAGAUGCAUCAACUUUAAUAAAUAAUAUAUUAAUAAAUAAUUAGAUUUUAUGUAGGUAUAUUUUAUUACUUAAAUUAUUAUAAUAAUAUAAUUAUUAAAUUUGAUUAUAUUUUAUUUAUUAAGUUUUAUUCAUUUAAUAUUUAGUUAAUAUAUUAAUUAUUUAUUUUAUUAUUAAUUAUUAUAAUAAAAUUAUUUUUCAUUAUAUAUAUUAAUUUUAACUUGUAUGAAUUAUAUACUUCAAAUUUUUAUGAUAAUAAUUUAUACUUAAAUUUUAUUAUAUAAUAUAAAUAUUAAAUUUAUAAUUGGAUAUUAUUUUUUAUUAAAGUUAUAUUAUUUUAUAUAUUGAAUAUAAUUAAUUCUUUAUUUAUCAUUAAGUAUUAUAUACAUAAACAUUUUCAUAUUAUAGUAUAUGUAUAAUAUAUAUAUAUUAAUUGAAAUUGAAAUUUAUUAGCUAAAUUUUUAUGAUAAUAUAUUUAUACUUAAAUUUUAUUAUAUAAUAUAAAUUAAUUAAAUUUGAUAUAUUUUUUAUUUUAUUAAACUCUAUCAUUUAUACUUUAAUAUUUAAUUAUAUAUAUAUUUUUUAUUUGUAUUAAAAUUUAUACUAAUUAUUAAUUAAAAAUAUAGGGAUAUUGUUAGUAUUAUACUUUAUUCAUUAAUAUAUUAUGAAUAAAUUAUAGAAAAUAAAUUAUUACAUAAAAUAAAUUAUUAUAUAUAAUAAAAUAAUAUAUAUUAUUUUAAAUUAGAUUCUUACAUAAAAUAUUAUAUUAUAAAUUACUAUAUGAAAUAAUUUUAUAAAUAAUUUUAUAUAAAAUAUACUAAUAUAAAUUAAUUAUUUUAUUUUUAAAAAUAUAUUUAGACGUUGUUCUAGACUUUUUAUCCAAACGCUAUUAAGGAUAUCCUCUAGAAUAUCCUCGAAUGCAUCCAAACACAAAUUUACAAUUGUUCUAUCUUGUACCGGAAUAUUCCCUGUUCUCGGGAACAACAAAAGUUGUUCUCCAAAAUUUAGUUCUCCAACCAAACGCAGCCUUAGAGUCCACCAAAAAGAAUUUUGGAUUUUAGUAAAAGAGAAAAAUUGACAAAGCUAGAGAAAGAAUAUAGACUUUCAGCAAGUGAGUUUAUUUUUAUGGAAAGUGGAGAAAGAUUUAGCAGUUUUCGAUAAUAAAUAUUCGCUUACUUUGAUUGAUUCACUUGAAGCUCAAACUCUUCAAAUUAGUCUAAUCGACUUCGGCCUAUUUUAGAAUAAAAAUAUCACAAUUUUAGAUUUUACGUCAUUCAUUUUCUAUCAAAUAAAUAGUUAGAGAAGAACUUCAGUUUCGUAGCUAUACAAAUAAAUAGUAAAAAAAGAUAAUAUUUUUUAUAUAAAUUUUAAUUCAUUUGAAAAUAAACACCUCUUAGUGGAGGACGAUAAAUAGUAUUGCUCAUGGAAAAUUUUAUAUGUAAAGGGAUAAGUUGAUUUAUAAUUAAAAACAAUAUAUAAAUCAAAACAAUGCUAUAAAAUAAAAUAUAGGAAAUUUUCAAAAACCACUCCUGUGGUUUCACAUUUUCUUACUUAGUAUCCUAUGGUUUAAAGUGUAUCAAUUUAUUAGUGCCAUGUGAUUUUAUUUUUAUCUUUUUAUUAUCGAUUUCACUAAUUUUUUCUUUAAAUUAGUGACAAAAUUAAAAUUAAAAAGUACUAAAGUAAAUAUUCGAUAAAUCUAUGUGAGGUAUCUGAAGUUUUGAUAUAUAAUUUAACAAAAUAUUAACGAAUAUUAACGAAAAAGCUGACGAAAAGAUAAAAAUAAAAUCAUAGGGCACUAACUUGAUACACCUUAAAUCACAGAAUAUUAAAGUAAAAAAGUACGAAACUACAUAAAUGAUAUUCGAAGUUUAUCCUGAAAUAAAAUAAAAUAAAAUAAAAGCAUGGUGGGUGGAGAUGUAAUUAAUUUUGAAAUAUAAUAAUGGCUAUUCGUACCCGAAUAGCACCACAGUGCCGGAAAAGUUGCUCGCACAUGUUUUCCCAUGGCUUUUUGUCUAAUUAAUCACACUCUUAUUAAAUUAAUUUAAUAGUUUAAUAUUUUUAAUAUUUUUUUUUGUUGAUGUGAUUCUUGUUGAAUGAUGAUUUUUUAUUUUUUUUGUGGGUCUAAUCUUUCAUAAUAAUCCUUCGGGCCACGUGGUUGGUUGGUUGGUUGGUGAUGGGGGACAAUUGCGGCCCCCACAACCGAAGCUUAUAAAAAAAAUGGCAUGUUGUGAUUGGACUUGGAAUAGAGACGUCAAUUUGAUAAAAUGCCUGAAAUUCUGUGUGAUUUGAAGGAAUAAAUAUACCUUAUGCUAAACGAAUAUAAUUUUGAAUAUAAUUAUUAAAAACGAAAUCAGACGAAUUUAAAUUUGGAUAUAAAAUUUAUAUUCUAUCCGACUCGAACCUAAAAUUAUCUUAUAUCUGCAUUAUAUCUAUCUAUCUAUCUAUAUCUAUACAUUACUCUCUAUAAACUUGUCACACGACAACGUUCGCUUCAUUAUUGGAUAUGUCUCAAGUCUUUAAUAUAUUUUUCUUUUUCUUUGCUUGAAUCAGACCAAUCAUUAUUUAGUGUACGCUCUCCCGAAUCGACUCAAAUCCUCCAUAUAUUUUUUUCUUCCUUUCAUUGAAUCAAAUCGGGUUUUUCUCUUUUUUUGAUUGAGCCGAGUCGGACCACCCCUCUGCAUUGGACCGAAUUAUUUAUCUUCUAAAACUUCCUUCAUCGGCAAGAUGAAUUCCACCCCUUAUCGUCAUUUCUUUCAUCGCCGUUUUCUCUUCCUUUGUCGCCGUAUUUUAUUUUUUCCCUAAUUUUCUAUCCGUCGCAUCGCACGAAUUAUUACACUAGUUUUAUAUAAUAUAUAAUAUGAAUUGGGCUUGAAUACUAUUAAUAGUAUUUGAGCUAUUUUGCUAUCGAGUUUUUAACCUUUGGUGAAAAAUUGUAGAAUUAGGAUGAUAGUGGUCUCCUAGGGUUUAGUGGUAAUCCCCUAAGAUUGAGUGGGUGGUUAGCUAAAUAGUAUGAUCUAAAGAAUGAAAUUGAUUAAAGUGUAGAUCUGACAACUAAAAAAUCGAUAGUAGAGCCAAAAAAUUACUAAUAGUAUUCCAACUCAACUCUCUCUCUCUCUAUAUAUAUAUAUAUAUAGAUUUGAUGUUAUAUUUGAAUUUAUAUUUUAAAAUUUUAGAUUUAAUGUAUUAUAUUUUGAAAUGUUGUAAAAAAAAUAAUUGUUUUGGGUUUAGACUCGGGUUUGGGUUUUGAAUUUUUGAUUGAGUUUGGAUUUGGAUAUAGAUUUUUAAAAUACGUCAGAUUCAGAUUUGGGUUCGGAUUUCCGGUUCGGAGUCGGAUUUGCGUUCGGAUAUUUGAAAGAUCCACCCUGAAUCCGAUCUGUUGACAUUCCUAAUUUAGAAGGCGGAGAAUCUAAGUUUCUAACAGCAAUGUUAUCUGUAUAUCUCUAAUUGCUAGUUUGGAAGCAAUAUAAAAAAUAGUGUAAUUAAAAAAAAAAUGUUUGCUACUUAAUUUGGACCAUUUUAUUACGAUCGACUAUUUGGAUAUCUAUUCUAGAAUUUUAAAAUUCGUGGUUUAUAGUCCAAAAUAAAAUAUUUUUAUUGUAAAAUAAAAAAAAGUCCUAAUUCAAUAAAAAAGGAAUCAUAGCAAGUUGGUAAAACGUAGUAAUAUAGUGCCCAUCCAAAUAGUAUCUAAAUUGUGUAUUUUAAAAUAGAGUAAUGCCACAUUAUGAUAUUUUAGUACCAAAUUUUUUUAAAAAAAUACUAUACACAAUUUUCAAGAGUUCCCAAAUAGGCCCUAAAUAUGAUAUAAAUCUUACAUUUUUAUUCAUCCAAAAAUUAUUAUUUUUUCACUAGUUAUAUCAAAAAAUUUUUUUUCAAAGUAAUAAAAACCGAAGAUGAUUUUGAAAAUCUAUAUCCAAACCCGAACCCGAGCCCAAAUCCGAAAAUCCGAACCCGAAACAAUUAUUUCUCUUUUCAAUAUUUCAAAAUAUAUUACAUUAAACCUAAUUUUUAACAUCAAAUUUGUAUAUACAUAUUAAAUAUAAAUAUAAAAUAAAUUCGGGUUUGGGUCGAGUACAGUCAAAACCUGUAUCCAUCGGGUUUUUGUUCUGAUAUCUACAUCUGAAACCAUAUUCGUUUAGCAUCGGGUAAAUCCAUUUCAUUCGCGUUCAGAUUCAGAUAAAAUUUCGUGUAUCCGUACCCAUCGACAUCCCUAAAUGGGGGGUCAUCAUUCAGCCAUGUCUGAAUGGCUUGUGGACCAUCCCAGCAAGGGAUAGAGAGGACUGAUGUUGCACCACACUGGAUUGGGCCACAAACUGGCCCCUUUUUUUUUUUUGUUAUUUUUAUAAUAUUUCAAUUUUUUUAUAUUUUUUUGGUCAAAUUUUUUAUAUUAGUUUUAUAAAGAUUAUAUAGUUAUUACUUAAUAAACAAGUUUUAGAUAAUUUUCUAAAAUUUUUAAAAGUAAAAUAACUUAAAUCUAUACCUAUACAUUAUUUUCCCUAAAGUCUUGCCACGUGGCGGUACCUCCUUUAUCUUUACCAUCUCCUCUCUUUUCUAAUCACAAUUGUUGCAACCGCAUAAAACCUUUGAUCUUUCAAUUAAUUAAUGAACAAUUUUAAACCUACACUCUUCAUCUCCCCACCAAGUUACGAUCUUAAACCCACACUCUUCAUCUCCCCAACAAGGAGUUACUAACUUUAAUAAUUACAAUGAUCCACACAAUUAGCACCACUAAAACCCCAUCAUCAUCAUUUCUUCAUUCUCCGAAACCAAAUACCACACUCCAACAAUGUCCUAUGUUACAAACCAACUCUUCUUUCUAUUAUUCUUAUUAUUAUUCUCGAACGCGAGUACGAACCCGUCAACGCGAUUCGGGUCGAGCCAUGAUUGUUCGGGCGCGUUGUUUGGGUUCAGCGAAUGCUUGGAGUUUGUGAAGGGCGGGGCGAACGGGGCCGAAUCGGGAUUGUUGCUCUGGGCUCGAUCACGUGCUGAGCCGGAGCGUCACGUGCCUCUGCGAGGCCAUACGAGAAAGGGCAAGGCUAGGCGUACCUGUGAACGUCAAUAGUCCCCUGUUACAAAAGUAAGAGGUGUAUUUUUUUUAUGGUCCAAUUUCAUAUAAACAAAUUGCUUUCAUAAGAAAAAAUAAGUAAAAUAAGAUUUCUUCGUACUCCUUUUUUUUCAUUUUUUUUGGCGCAUAAGAAUGGUUCAUAUUUUGUUAUUUUUUUAAUUUUUGUUAUCUUUUUGUUGUUAAAUUGUAUGUGUACUGAAAUUAGGGUUUCGUGGAUUGUAGCGCAGCAUCGCGGGGGAAAGCGAAGAUAGAUUUGGAGUCAAUGAGAGGAAAGAAGUGGUAGGUUUGGAGAGAUCUGUAGGGAAUCAACGUGGCUGUGACGAAAAAGGAGCUCGACGUUGAUAAUGGCGGCAAAGGUAAUGUGGAGAUGGGGAUUCGUCUCCCCGAUGUCGGUAGUGCGAUCAAAAUGCGUAUGGAGUAAUAAUUCUAUUGCUGCUUAUUUUAUUAUUAUUUUUUAUAAUUUAUUUACUGAAAUUAUAAAUUUUGUUAUAUUUGUACGUAUAUCUGUUUCAUCUUUUUUAUUUGUAUAUAUGUUAAUAUAUAUUAUCUUUAUUUAUUAAUGUCUUAUGAUAAUUCAAAAAAUUUAAAAUUUUUAUUUUGUGAAUCUUCUGUCUUCUAUAGCAUCAGCCCGCCGCAAUGCGCGAGUAACUUCACUAGUUAUACAUCAAUUAUCCAAACAAACUUCCAGGCCAUAAUUGCUGCAGGCACUUUAUACUAUUCAAUCACACACUUUAUUACAUGAUAGAAUUUGUGUCGGCUGCACCACCCAACAUUUUUCCAUCUUUUAAGCUGUGGCUGCUGAUGGGCAAUGAUAACUGCAUUUGAUAUAUCUUAUAUUAUUGUGAACAUUUUGUACAUAGUAUAUUUUUUUUGGCUAAAUUAAAAAUUUUUUUUUAUAAAUAUUCAUUUUUUUAUUUUUUUUCUAACUUUCAAAAAUUUAUAUUUUACCCUCUUAAUAUUUCAAAUUGUUGCAUUUAGGCCCCUCAGUCAAGGUUCAGUUACUAUUCUGUUCAUUUCUUAUAAUUUAUAUAGAAAACACCAUUCACAAUGAUAAAAAUAUAUUAAAAAAUUAUUAUUUUUUUUUAUAAAAAAAGUAAAAGUAAUUUAGUCAUUUUGUCGUCUCCAUUAACACCGUACCACCCUAAAAAUAAUGAUAUUUGAUAUAUCUUAUAUUAUUGUGGUCAUUUUGUAUAUAGUAUAUAAGAUAUAUGAGCCGUGGCUACUGAUUGGCAAUGAUAACUGCAUUUGAUAUAUCUUAUAUUAUUGUAAAUAUAUUAUAUAUUUUUUUGGCUAAAUUACAGAAUUUUUAUUUUACAAAUAUUCAUUUUUUUUUUUACUUUCCCUCUUUAACUUUUAAAAGUUUAUAUUUUAACCCCCUCAAUAUUUCAAGUUGUUGUAUUUAGCAACCCUCAAGGCUUCAUUGCUAUUUUGUCUAUUUCUUAUAAUUCCUAUUAAAAAUAUCUUUAAAAAUGAUAAAAAUAUAUUAAAAAAUUAUUUUUUUAUAAAAAAAGUAAGGAUAAUAUGAUCAUUUUGCCCUCUCCGUUAACACUCUGAAAAUAAUUUCUGAAAUUUUAAGGGGGCAAAAUAUAGAAUUUUAAAAGUCAAGAAGAAAAACUAAAAAAAAAAAUCUAAUAUUUAUAAGGAGAUUUUCCAUAUUUUAGCUUUUUUUUUAGCUUUAUCAAGUAGAACACGCAAUUGAGCCAAAGUUGAUCCAGUUAUUUAAUUUGGGAACCAACUAAAAUUCUUCAAUACAAGGCUUCUAAAAAGCUUGGUAUAGAAAAAAGAUAGUAUUGUGAUCAUUUUUAUCCUUAAUACUAAUUUAUAUAAUUUAUUAUAUCGAUGAAAACACUUUUUGUUAUUGUCGUGAUUGGUUAGCUUGUAAACAAAAAAAAACCUCUAAAAGAAGCAACAAAAAAAAAAGAAAAAAACAUCUACAAUAAAAUAAAUAAGUUCUUUGAGCAUUUGAGACCAAAACUAAAAUUUAAAGGUCAAUGUUAGGGAUGCAAACGGAUCCGGGUUGGUGGAGCUCCCGCCCCGAUCCGUCCCGACGGGGUCAGUAAAUGGAAGAAAAUAAAUGAAUUCGGGGCAGGAAACGGAGUAAAUUUUACGAUCCGAGAAGGAUUUGGAGCAGGAAAUGAGAGAAAUUUUUACCUGCUCCGAAUCCGCCUCGCCACGAUCCACCCCAAAUCUGCCCCGAAAAUUAUUUAUAUUUUUUUAAAAAAUAUUCCUAAAAAAUAAUGUAUUUGUAAAAAAGUUCAAAAUACAAAUAAGUUAGUACUCUCAUUUCUAAUAUAUUUGAAACUUUUGAAUUUUUGUUUUGAAUUAUGAUUGAUAUUUUUUAUUUGUAUUAUUAAUAUUGUUAAAUUAUAUAUAUAAUAUUAUUAAAAAUUAUUAAUUUAUAUUUUACAAAAUAUUAAUAAUAUUAUAAUUUUAUAAAAAAUAUUAGUUGGCGGGGCGGAUUCGGGGCGCCAGCGGGAGGCGGGUUACGAGGCUGGGCGGAUUAUGCAAUGUAUUUUUUAACCCGUCACGAAUUCGGGGCGGGAGGCGGGGCGAGAUUUGCUAGUCGGGGUGGAAGGCGGGGCUGGGCUCCCGCCCCAGAUCUGUCCCGUUUGCAUUCCUAGUCAAUGUCUUUAUAAUAUAUUUGUUUAAUUAAUAUUGAAAAGUCUAGCUCAACCAAACUGGUCUUAUAGGCACACAACAUCAUUUGUAUAACAAUCGCCUGAGGGGGUGUUUGGUUGCACGUAAAGUUAUAAAAAUAUUUUAAAAAAUUUACACUUCAUGGCAUUUGGUUUUUUUGUAAAAAAAAAGAGUUUUCAAGAUGUGCCUGUUUGGUUUGUAGGAAAGAAAAUUCAAAUUGAGGAUAUAAAUACCUUCAACAAAAUAAGGUGAGGUUUCCAUUUUUCAAAAAAUACUUUUAAAAUAAUAGUAAAAUAUUUUUAUAACAUUUAUAAUGCAUAGUUUGCAUUAUUAUUAUAAUAUAUAAUUGGAUGAUAUAAUAAUAAUAUUUAUAAAAAUAUGUUAAUCUAAUUAUUAUGUUAUUAAAAUAAAUAAUUAGAAUAAUUUAACAAAAGUUUACGUAACCUUGUGAUAUCUUUAUAAGCCAUUUUUCCAAACAAAAUAUAACAAUUACAAAAAUAUAUACCAUUUAAUAACAUUAGAUUAUUUAAUGAAAUGAUAUAUUAUAUUGAGUCCGGUUACUAUACUAUCGAUAAUACCAAGCGCUUGGCGCUUUCGAGUUUUUCGCUGUUAGAUCUAUUUCUUUGACCAUUUUCACUUGUUAGAUCAUAUUAUUUAAUCAACCACUCACUCAACUCUAAGGGAUCACUAUCAUCCUAAUCGCACAAUCCUUUCAUCCAGUGCUUUGUACUAUUAAUAGUAUAAUAGCCUAAUUCAUAUUAUUAUAUGAAUAUUAUAGGUUAAAGGAUUAAAAGGAUACCAACCGUCCCUAGAGCAAGUGGCAAAGGGCUUGGUGGUUGGUAUCCGAGACCUAAGUUCGAAUCCUAGUUGAUUCACAUUUCCAGCUAAGUUUAUUUCUAAAUGAAAUAAACGAAGCGGAUAGCGUGCUAUCUAUCUCUUUAAAAAAAAAAAAAGAAGAUUAAAAGGAUAAUUCCCUGCACCUAGGGUAUGUUUGUUUGGGUGGAAGUGAGGUGGAAGUGGAGAAGGGGGAAGUCGUUUGCGGUAUAAACUAUCAUUUUUGUUGUUUGGUUCGCCGUAAAAUAGUUACGGCCGAAACUCGAGUUAACCGGAAACGGUGUAAUUGACUUCGGCCCAUGUCCAUCGUGGGCCGAAGUCAAUUACGCCGAAGGAAGGCAAAGAAAAAAUAAUAAAAUAAUAUACCAUAUAAAGAUAAUUAUAUUUAAAUAUAUUUAAUUAUGCUAUUAAUUACUCUUUUAUUUAGUUGGCAUAUUUAAGAUAUGAUCAAAAUUGAUUAGUUAAGUUUUAUAUUUUCUUUAUUUAGUUUGUACAAUUAAAAUAUGAUAGAAAUUGAUUAAUCAAGUAUUAAUAUUUUUUUACUUUAUAAUUUUAUUGUUGUAUUAUUAUGGUUUAUGUAUAAAAAAAUAAUUUAGAUGUUUUAAAUUAAAUUUUAAUUAUAUAAAAAUAUAAUUAUAUUAUUUUUAUUUAUUAAAUUAUUCAUUAUUUAUACAUAAGUUAUAUCAUACAUUUCCUAUCAAACAAACAGCGAAACUAAUAUAACUCCACUUUCAUAACUACGAAACAAACAACGGAAAAAAAGUGAUUUUUUUUUAACAUUAUCUCAACCCAAAGUCCAAUUUCGAUGAAACAAACAUGCUCUAGUGCGCCGUAUCAGCUGUACCUCUAGCUUUUGAUCCUCAUUUAAUCAUAAAAAAUUUAAAAAAAGAAUCAAUUAAAAAACAUUGUUUUUUUAAGUGGUGGAGAUUAAACAAUAAAAUAAAAUAGAAUAGAUAUGCGAUGCACAUGCAGUCUACGCGGUGCAUUUGGUGCAGGCAAGAAUUUGUCUGAAUGAAACGAAGGGGUGAGCGAAUACCAAAACUCACCAUUACGAGAUUUGGGCACAAAGUUUUCGUUUUCCAUAAAAAUCUAUGGAAAACGAGAACCCAACUUUUCACUAAAAUAUGUAAAAUCAUUUUACUUUGAAACAAAAUUUUACAUUAAACCAAACAUUGGAAAUGCCAUUUUCAAGGUAAAAAUAGUUUUCCACUAAAUUUUAUAUCAAACAAAUACACCCUUACUCCGACCGUCCCUUGCGCAAGUGGCAAAAAGAUUUGGUGGUUGGUAUCCAAGGCCCAAGUUCGAAUCCUAGUUGAUUCACAUUUUCAGCUAAGUUUAUUUCUAAACGAAAUAAACGAAGCGGGUAGCAUACUACCUUUCGCUCAAAAAAAACAAGUACACCCUUAUUUGAAACAGAAGUAGAAGAAGAAGAAGAGUGCUACUAUAUACAAGUCUCUAACCCACCGUUUGGUUCGGGGUUAAGUAAAAACUUGUUAUUGUAGAGAUAGAGUUAAGUUCAGGGUUAAGGUGGUGUUAGAGUAAUUUUGUGUUUGGUUGAGAAUUGGGUUUAGCCCAGAUAUAGAUAAAAUAGUGUUUGGUUGGAGUAGGUGGGAUAAGAAGGAUAGUGGGUAAAAUAAUAUUUUAUUUGGUUGGAGUAGUGGGGUGGGGUGGGGUUAGCUAACCCCACCCGGUGGAAUUAGUUAACCCCAGCCCCCAAAUUGGAUGUUUGGGAAUAACUUCGGGGUUAAAGGAUUAUUCCACCCCUUGACCCCAAACCAAACGUAAAAUUUACUCAUUUUAAUCGAUAUUGGUGCUUUGUUAAUAGAAAAAGCUUUAAGCUACCGUUUGGUUCGGGGUUAAGGAAAAACUAGUUAUUCCAGGAAUAGAAUUAAAGUUCAGGAUUAAGGUAGGAUUAGAGUAUUUUUGUAUUUGGUUGAGAAUUGGAGUUAGUCCAGGAUUAAAGAAAAUAAUGUUUGGUUGGAGUAGGUGGGAUAAGAAGGAUAGUGGAUAAAAUAGUGUUUUGUUUGGUUGGAGUAGUGGGGUGGGGUGGGGUUAGCUGGGGUUAGCUAAUCCCACUCCAAAUGGGCUAUCCCGGGUUAGCCUAUUUGGAAUGGGGUUAGCUAACCCCACCCCCCUAAAGUUAUGUUUGGGAAUAAAAUCAGUGUUAAGGGGUUAUCCCACCCCUUAACCUUGAACCAAACACAAGCUAAAUACCCUCCUGUGGUUUCGCACUUUCUCACUUUAGUACCCUAUGGUUUAAAAUAUAUCAAGUUAAUACCCCGUGGUUUCGCACUUUCUCACUUUAGUACCCUAUGGUUUAAAGUGUAUAAAGUUAGUACUCUUUGGUUUCACACUUUUUCACUUUAAUACCAUGUGGUUUAAUAUUUUGUUAAAUUAUAUAUUCCGAAAUAAAUAAUAAAAAAGGAAAUCGAAACCACAGGAUACUAACUUGAUACAAAAAUGAAACCACAGAGUACUAACUUGAUAAACUUGAAACCACAUGAUACUAAAGUGAGAAAGUGCGAAACUACAGGGUACUAACUUGAUACAUUUUAAACCACAAAAUACUAAAGUGAGAAAGUACGAAACCACAGAAGAGAUAUUUGAAGUUUCCCCUUGGUAAUAUAUUACUAUUUACAAAGAAUUAGAAAUAUCUCCUGCUCACAAGCAAAAUCCAAAUCCUCAAAUUCCGACUUCUCUUCUCUCCCUUUUUUCGACUCCUCUACUAUUUUUCUCCUUUUAUUUUUUUCUUCCUUUUUGAUUUUUUUCCCCCUUUCUCUAUUUUUAUUUUGUCAUUGCUGCCAACGGUGGAUUCUUUAUCACUCUCCACAGUAUUUUACUAUAAGAAAUAUAAAGAGAUAAAGGGGAAGGGAAAAAAAAGUAGGACAAAAGAAUGAAGGCCCUCAUUAUCUCUUUUCCUUUUUGGAUUUUUUUUUUUUUUUCCGGAUAAACUUCAAAUAUCAUCAUUGUAGUUUCACACUUUCUCGCUUUAGUGUCUUGCGAUUUUAUUUUUAUUUUUUCGUCAACUUUUUCGUUAAUAUUUCGUUAAAUUAUAUACAAAAGACUUCAUAUAUCUCACCUAGAUUUAUCGAAUAUUUAUUUUAGUACCCUUUAGUUUUAAUUUUAUUUUUUAGUGCAAUCAAUAAUAAAAAAAUAAAAAUAAAAUUAUAGAGCACUAAUUUAAUACACUUUAAAGCAUAUGCUAUUAAAGUAAAAAAAUAUCAAAUCAUAGAAAUGAUAUUUAAAAUUUUCCCUUUUCUUUCCCCUUACUCUCUUUUUCUCGAUUAGAUUUUUUUCCUCUCUCUCUCUCUCUCUCUCUCUCUCCUUUUUUUUUUUUUUUUUUUUGGGUUCUCGUCGCCUCUCCUNGAGCAAUCUCUCCACCACGUGCCGCCGCCACAUCGUCCCUUCUGUACCACACGUCACCGUCAUCGCCAUUCCUGUCGACGAUGGGUUCAUUGUCAAUUUUCACAAUAUUUUCACUCUAAGAAAUAUACAAAGAUGUGAAAAAAACAAUAAGAGUAGAAAAAAAAGAAGUAAAUAUUGCCAUUAGAAUUACCAAGUAGAGAGAGAAAAAAAGCAAGAGCCAAAAAUUUAUGUGGAGAAAGAGAGAGGGAGAGACUUUAGUGCAUGAGGGAGAGGGAUCGAGAAGUGAAAAUUUUCUGUAAGUAGAGAAAACGGAAAGAUGUAAUUAAGUACAUUCUUAUGUUAGUGAGUAAUGUAAAAGUGUAUUUAUCCAUGUGUGAGAGAGAGAGAGAGAAAACUAAAGUUUUAAGUGCCCGUCGGCACAUGCCGUAUUCACCGUGCCGUACCGUGCCAACAAGAUACCGACACGAUACAGACCCCGUACCGAGGACACAGCUAAAAACUCCUAUUCUUUAAAUUAGUAAAUAAUUUUUUCUAUAAAGUUUAAAAGAUGUGAUAAAAAGACAUGAUAAAUAGUUAAAAUAGUUUAUUGCUAAAGAAAAAUAAAUAUUUCAUGCUAUUAUGUGUUGGCAUAUAAGAUUUUUUUUUACCAGCACAUAUCGGCACGGCUUGGCACGCACCGUACUGUACCGUGCCGGUAAGUUUUCGGCACGAUCCCGUGCCACAGCACUUAAAUCCUUGGAGAAAACAUAUUCAUUCGAGAGAGAGAGAGAGAGAGAGAGAGAGAAAAGAAUAUAUAGAUAAAAAUCCUAUACUAAAAAAGUAUAUGAGAUUAUAGCAUUAUACCUACUAAUUGGCAUAAGACUUUCUAUGUAAUUUUUGAGAAAAUACUACUUCUAUACCACUUGCAGAGUCGUAUAUUUUACAUUCUUGAAUUUUAUGAUUAAGAAUUUUCUCAAAAAAAUUUUAUGAUUAAGAAAUUUGUUUUUUAAAGGGUUUAGUAAAAGAAAAAUAAAUUGAUAAGAGAACUGAGGUAUUGUAGACCACAGGAAGGCUAAGGUAUAUGGAUUAUCCUAUAUUGUGGAUAGCAUUGCUCAUAUUUUUUUUAUAUUGUUAAUUAUAUCAUUGGUUCUUAACCUUUGCAUUAUUUUUCACUUGGGUUCCCAAUCUUUUUUUUUGGCAAUUGAGUUCCUAAUUUCUUAAUUUAUUGCAAUUACAUCCCAGCGAUUAAAAAAGUUGUUAAAAUUAACGGAAUCGCUGCGUCAGUGCCUAUUUGGCUUCCUUUUGCAUGUCAAUUUCAGUCCCUAAACUUUGCAUGAUUUUCACUUGAGUCCCCAAAAAUAAAAAUUUUAAAUUUUAAAUUUAAAUUCAAAAUUAAUAUUAAAAUUAAAAUUAAAAUUUUAAACUAACUCGAAAUUAGAAUUUUGAAUUUGAAUUUAAACCUACAAUUUUGAUUUAAAGCUGAAUUAAAAUUCAAAUUUUAAAUUAAAUCUAAAUUUUCAAUUCAAACUUAAAAUUUUGAUUUUGAUAUUGAUAUUUCAAUUUGCAUUUAAAAUGAAAAUUUUGAAAAUAACAUUUAAAUUUAAAAUCUAAAUUUAAAUUUAAAGCCUAAAUUUAAAUUUAAAAUCAUAUUCAAAAUUUUGAUUUAAAAUUUAAAUUUGAAUUCAAAAUUUUACAUUUGAAUUUAAGAUUUGAUUUUAAUUCUAGAUUUGAAUUUAAACUGCAAAUUCAAAUUGGCAUUUUAAAUUUGAAAUUCCAAAUCAAAGUUUGAAAUUAAAUUAGAAUUAAAAUUUAAAAUAUGAAUUUGAAUUUAAAAUUAAAUACAAAAUUAGAAUUAGAAUUAGAAUUUAUAUUUGAAUCCAGAAUCAAAUUUAAAAUUUAAAAUUUAAAUCUUAAAUUUAAAAUCUUGAUUUGAAUUUAUAGUUUAUUUCAAAACAUAAUUUAAAUUUAUAAAAUAAAAUUUAAAUUUAAAUUGUAUGAUUAGUUGGUACUGACACAGCGCCUCAGCGGCACUGACACAGUGCCUCCAUAACGCUGACAUGUUGCUGACGUAGAACUUUUCGUUAAUUUUAAUACAUGUCUAACUGCUGGGACUUAAUUGUAAUGAAAUCAAGAGAUUAGAAACUUGAUUGCCAAAAAAAAUAGAUUGGAGACCAAAUUGAAAAGCAGUGCAAAGGUUGGGGACCAACGAUGUACAUACAUUUUUUCUCUAAAAAAAAAACCGAUGUACAUACAUUUUGCUCCAAAACGAACAAAGAUAUAUAUACUUCACAGUUUACAUUCCAUGCAAAUAAUAAUAUGAACCCUUUUCGGCCUAGCCCGCAUUAUUGGGCCAAACAUGCUUCAUAUUAAUUAUAAUAAUAACUAGUGUAGGAACCCGCACGAUGCGGCGGAUAUAAUCAUAUUUGAUUAAAUUUAAUAAUAUAAAAAUACUUUAAAACUUUUAGAAUAAAAUUANAAAAAAGGAAAAAUAGGGAGGAAAUAGAAGUUAGAGUGAUCUGUUAGGAGCCUACUUAUUUGCACGAUAAAUAAUUUGCACAAAUAAUAAUAAAACAAAGGAACAAUUGGUGAAUUAUUAUGAAAAAAAUAUAUAUACCAAGAAAAAACGUUGGAACAAAUAUAUAUAUAUAAAAAAAAGAAAUAGUGUUGCAUUAAAAUAGAGGGUAGUGUUAAUUAUUUUUUUUUUGCACUUCAUGUCCAUUGAUGAUAUUAUUCUUGGCUGCUGUAGUGAGGCGCAACCAUGUAAAACUUUAAGAGACUCACUGCAGGGGGCAGAAAUGGUAAAAAAAAAAGAAGAAAAAGUUAGAAAUCAAAGAUUGAGAGAGAAGAGAAAAAAAGCAAAGUGGUUUGUUUCAUCCCAGCAUGCAGUCGGAGUCGAGAUCUUCCGCCCCAGGUGCGGAAGCUUGGCCGCAUUUCUCACACUUCACGAACGGAAAAAGAAAUAGAGAACAAAAAGAAGUAAAUUCUCAACAGUAACCGUGAAAAAAAAGAGAGGCAAAUGAAGCUUCGCCGCAUUUCUCACACUUCACUUCGCCGCAUUUCUCACACUUCACGAACGGGAAAAGAAAUAGAGAACAAAAAGAAGUAAAUUCUCAACAGUAACCGUGAAAAAAAAGAGAGGCAAAUGAAGCUUCGCCGCAUUUCUCACACUUCACUUCGCCGCAUUUCUCACACUUCACGAACGGGAAAAGAAAUAGAGAACAAAAAGAAGUAAAUUCUCAACAGUAACCGUGAAAAAAAAGAGAGGCAAAUGAAGCUUCGCCGCAUUUCUCACACUUCACUUCGCCGCAUUUCUCACACUUCACGAACGGGAAAAGAAAUAGAGAACAAAAAGAAGUAAAUUCUCAACAGUAGUACGGAAAAGAGUACAGUCGGCACACCUUUCAAAACCGUAAAAAAAAAAAAAGAGAGGCAAAUAACAGUAAAGGGAAAAGGCAAGAGAGAAAAAAAAAGAAGUAAAGAAUGAAAGAACAGUAGGUAACAGCACAGUUGGUUGUUUGGUGCUCAUAUAAGUUCUUGUAUAAAAGGGAGUCGUCAUAAUUCAUAUCCAUGUAUUGAAAGUCGCAUUCUUCCUUAAGCCGCUUCAUAGCAAGACGUGCAGUCUCCUGUUCAGCGGCAGUAGCAGUUGGGAGCGGGGAACUCGAACAACGCACAGUUUGAAUGACAGUGCCACUGUGCGGAAUUUGGAGGUCUAUGUAUCCAACGAACUUGCCUUCGGUAUCAGGGGUCACUACAAUCUGAGGCACGCCGAGGCUGAGUUGAUCGUAAACCUCGCCAAGCAUCCUAACGUAAGAAAAGUGGAUAGCUGCCAUGGUUCAGACUGCAAGGAAGUUGUAAAACAUAGAAUGGUGGAGAUGUAAGUAAGACACUGCCGAGAAGUAAGGUGGGAGGUGGAGGAAGAAGGAAAAAAAGAAAGAAGAAACAUACAACUAACAAUGGAACCAGAUCAAGAGAAGAAGUAAAGCAGCAACAUCAAUUAGAGUAAAGAACACCACAGCAAGUGAAGACAAAUAUGUAAAGCAAAACAAAAUAGGCUAAAAAACAUGCAAGGUCAGUACACAGACAAUCUGGAAAGACAAUAUAGAAGAAGGGAAAUCGCUGAGGCUCAGGUUUAAAAGCAAGGGCGUGGCAUCUCUUUUUUUUUUGCAGCAUAAGUUUACAGCAGGUGGCAGAAUCUAACGAAGCCCACGGUAGUAAGCAACAACAGGAGCUGCAUUAGUAGGUGGUUGCCUUUAAGUAGGCCAUCCAACCUAGAGUGAACAGCCGACCAAUUAAUACCAAUUACACCCUCGAAAUCACACCAUGUAUAUUGAUGGAUGGUUGCGCAUGGGAAAGCCAUACUGCAUAGUGUAAACAGUUGCUUUCUAAUGCGCCAAACCACUACACGCUUCCUUUUUUUUUGGAAAGGCAUGGCAGGGAGUAAGAUAGCCGCAAGGUGUAAAUGUAAGAGAUAGUCAUCAUUGCCUCGUAAAGAAAAUAAAAAAAAGAAAGAACCAACAAAU
rnacentral:lncRNA from 1 species